ACUGUCACUUCUAAAUUAUUGCAAAUAUGAUAAUAGGUAAAAAAUAAAUAAGAUAAAAUUACACACAAUUCUCUUCUAAGUAAUAAAAUAUCAGAUUGAAAAAAUUAGCAUGCCUAAAGGCAUUAUCUUAGAAGCAAUAUCGCCCCCACGUGCGAGGCUACCGGUGGCCUCUCUGAGAGAUACAAUGAGGUAGUGGAUGACUACUCGUUCCUCCUCAUCAACAUAGCUCCAAGGAAGCUAGAUAUGACCGUAAAAGCUUUUACAGCCCAGCAACAUAGGGGAGC
rnacentral:lncRNA from 1 species